rnacentral:rRNA from 1 species
CACUCCUGCGGGAGGCAGCAGUGGGGAAUUUUGGACAAUGGGCGAAAGCCUGAUCCAGCAAUGCCGCGUGAGUGAAGAAGGCCUUCGGGUUGUAAAGCUCUUUUGUCAGGGAAGAAACGGUGAAAGCUAAUAUCUUUUGCUAAUGACGGUACCUGAAGAAUAAGCACCGGCUAACUACGUGCCAGCAGCCGCGGUAAUACGUAGGGUGCAAGCGUUAAUCGGAAUUACUGGGCGUAAAGCGUGCGCAGGCGGUUUUGUAAGUCUGAUGUGAAAUCCCCGGGCUCAACCUGGGAAUUGCAUUGGAGACUGCAAGGCUAGAAUCUGGCAGAGGGGGGUAGAAUUCCACGUGUAGCAGUGAAAUGCGUAGAGAUGUGGAGGAACACCGAUGGCGAAGGCAGCCCCCUGGGUCAAGAUUGACGCUCAUGCACGAAAGCGUGGGGAGCAAACAGGAUUAGAAACCCGGGUAGUCCCAUGA